UACGGAGGGUGCAAGCGUUAUCCGGAUUUACUGGGUUUUAAGGGUGCGUAGGCGGGUUGAUAAGUCAGUGGUGAAACCUCCGAGCUUAACUCGGAAACUGCCAUUGAUACUAUCAGUCUUGAAUUCAGUUGAGGUGGGCGGAAUGUGUCGUGUAGCGGUGAAAUGCUUAGAUAUGACACAGAACACCAAUUGCGAAGGCAGCUCGCUAAACUGACAUUGACGCUGAGGCACGAAAGCGUGGGGAGCAAACAGG
rnacentral:rRNA from 1 species